AUUGAACGCUGGCGGCAGGCUUAACACAUGCAAGUCGAGCGGGGUGAUGGUGCUUGCACUAUCACUUAGUGGCGGACGGGUGAGUAAUGCUUAGGAAUCUGCCUAUUAGUGGGGGACAACAUCUCGAAAGGGAUGCUAAUACCGCAUACGUCCUACGGGAGAAAGCAGGGGAUCACUUGUGACCUUGCGCUAAUAGAUGAGCCUAAGUCGGAUUAGCUAGUUGGUGGGGUAAAGGCCUACCAAGGCGACGAUCUGUAGCGGGUCUGAGAGGAUGAUCCGACACACUGGGACUGAGACACGGCCCAGACUCCUACGGGAGGCAGCAGUGGGGAAUAUUGGACAAUGGGGGGAACCCUGAUCCAGCCAUGCCGCGUGUGUGAAGAAGGCCUUAUGGUCGUAAAGCACUUUAAGCGAGGAGGAGGCUCUUUUGGUUAAUACCCAAGAUGAGUGGACGUUACUCGCAGAAUAAGCACCGGCUAACUCUGUGCCAGCAGCCGCCGUAA
rnacentral:rRNA from 1 species